GAUGAACGCUGGCGGCGUGCCUAAUACAUGCAAGUCGAGCGAACGGACGAGAAGCUUGCUUCUCUGAUGUUAGCGGCGGACGGGGGAGUAACACGUGGAUAACCUACCUAUAAGACUGGGAUAACUUCGGGAAACCGGAGCUAAUACCGGAUAAUAUUUUGAACCGCAUGGUUCAAAAGUGAAAGACGGUCUUGCUGUCACUUAUAGAUGGAUCCGCGCUGCAUUAGCUAGUUGGUAAGUUAACGGCUUACCAAGGCAACGAUGCAUAGCCGACCUGAGAGGGUGAUCGGCCACACUGGAACUGAGACACGGUCCAGACUCCUACGGGAGGCAGCAGUAGGGAAUCUUCCGCAAUGGGCGAAAGCCUGACGGAGCAACGCCGCGUGAGUGAUGAAGGUCUUCGGAUCGUAAAACUCUGUUAUUAGGGAAGAACAUAUGUGUAAGUAACUGUGCACAUCUUGACGGUACCUAAUCAGAAAGCCACGGCUAACUCCGUG
rnacentral:rRNA from 1 species